UCCACCUUUAUAAGGAAUGCUUCGUCCUCGCUGACACUUGUUCCAAUCGAUGUGAGAUCUCACAGAUUUCUUGCACUAGAGAUGGAGCUAUCUCGUUUUCUCUACAAGCUUUUCUCCUCCCUCAUGCUGAUUCACGUCUUUUUGUAUUAACUCGAUAUUCAAAUCAAUUCCUUUAUGCAAAUAGAAGAGGGCAUAGGCUACGUUCGCUUUGCUCUUCUCCUUCAUGCUAAUUCAUGUCUUUUUGUAUUAACUCGAUAUUCAAAUCAAUUCCUUUAUGCAAAUAGAAGAGGGCAUAGGCUAUGUUCGGUAAAUAUCUUCACCCUAUAGAUUACUUUUAUUAUUGUUAUCUUUUAAAUGUUAUGCUUUUGCCAUCCUAUUUU